CCAAGACUGGGAUUAGAAUUAGAUCUCGAAAGGAGUAAAAAGCACACUUUAGACUUGCCUCACCUGUGGACCAAGAGGAUGGAAUGCCUGCACUAUGACUGCUGUUGGAUUCUAGAAAAAAUCUGGUCAAGCUAAAUGAACAUGUUUCACUGAAGAAUGGAGCAAAGUUGGCUGUUUGGUCUCUUUCUAGUUAACGAAUUGAAUAGAUACAGGAACUUCAUCGUGUUCUCAGGGAA